UACGUAGGGGGCAAGCGUUGUCCGGAAUUAUUGGGCGUAAAGAGCGUGUAGGCGGUCCGGUAAGUCCGCUGUGAAAGUCCAGGGCUCAACCCUGGAAUGCCGGUGGAUACUGCCGGGCUAGAGUCCGGAAGAGGCGAGUGGAAUUCCUGGUGUAGCGGUGAAAUGCGCAGAUAUCGGGAGGAACACCAGUAGCGAAGGCGGCUCGCUGGGCCAUACCUGACGCUGAGACGCGAAAGCGUGGGGAGCAAACAGG
rnacentral:rRNA from 1 species